rnacentral:rRNA from 1 species
CCUACGGGGGGCAGCAGUGGGGAAUAUUGCGCAAUGGGCGAAAGCCUGACGCAGCGACGCCGCGUGAGGGAUGAAGGUCUUCGAAUCGUAAACCUCUGUCAGCAGGGAAGAACGGUCACUGUGCUAAUCAGCAGUGAAUUGACGGUACCUGCAAAGGAAGCACCGGCUAACUCCGUGCCAGCAGCCGCGGUAAUACGUCGGGGGCGAGCGUUAAUCGGAAUUACUGGGCGUAAAGCGCUCGUAGGCGGUAUGUCAAGUCAAGGGUGAAAGCCCCGGGCUCAACGUGGGAACUGCCUUUGAAACUGGCAAACUGGAGUGUGGGAGAGGAGAGUGGAAUUCCAGGUGUAGGAGUGAAAUCCGUAGAUAUCUGGAGGAACAUCAGUGGCGAAGGCGACUAUCUGGAACAUAACUGACGCUGAGGAGCGAAAGCGUGGGUAGCAAACAGGAUUAGAUACCCCGGUAGUC